GUGUGCCUGCUUUGCUUCCAAGCCAUGAGCAGAGUCCUGAGAGCCACGUAUUCUUUUAACCUCAGUUUACCUUCGGACCAAUCCUGAGACUUGUUACCAGAGGUUAAAGAAGAGAUGCAGGGAAGAGGAGAAGGUCAUUCCGCUGGAAUACCUGGAAGCAAUUCACCAUCUCCAUGAGGAGUGGCUCAUCAAAGGCAGCCUUUUCCCCAUGGCAGCCCCUGUUCUGGUGAUUGAGGCUGACCACCACAUGGAGAGGAUGUUAGAACUCUUUGAACAAAAUCGGGAUCGAAUAUUAACUCCAGAGAAUCGGAAGCAUUGCCCAUAGGAGGCAAAAGGUCUAUGGCUCAUGUCUGAAAAAUGCCUGCUGCUGCCAAGUUAGCUAUUGGGAGCAAUCUGGAAAAACUUGCUCCCAGGAGGGCUUUGUGUCUGGCCAGCUUGAUUUUCCUAAUGGUCUCAUCUCCUUUGCUAGUGUCUUUGUCAUGCGUCUCUGGCCCUCGUGGGUAAAUGACAAACGGGACCAAUGGGUUUGCCAAGCCCUUUGCUGUUCGCAGCCUCACAUUCCCCCGGUGCC
rnacentral:lncRNA from 1 species